rnacentral:rRNA from 1 species
UACGGAGGAUGCGAGCGUUAUCCGGAUUUAUUGGGUUUAAAGGGUGCGUAGGCGGACGCUUAAGUCAGCGGUAAAAUUGCGGGGCUCAACCUCGUCGAGCCGUUGAAACUGGGUGUCUUGAGCGGGCGAGAAGUAGGCGGAAUGCGUGGUGUAGCGGUGAAAUGCAUAGAUAUCACGCAGAACUCCGAUUGCGAAGGCAGCGUACCGGCGCUCAACUGACGCUGAAGCACGAAGGCGUGGGUAUCGAACAGG